rfam:Erinaceus europaeus unplaced genomic scaffold scaffold00217, whole genome shotgun sequence
GGGUGUGAGGGCGAUCUGGCUGCCACAUCUGCCACCCCAUUGAUCGCCAGGGUUGACUCGGCUGAUCUGGCUGGCUAGGCAGGUGUCCCCUUCCUCCCCGACAGUUCCAUGUGCGUCCCUCCUGAAGCUGCAUGCUCGGUCGAAGGGGACGGCCUUCCCCAAAUAGAGACGGAUUGGUCUUCGGUUGAGGGUCUACGAGUAGCUGUGCUCCCUUGCUACAACCUCCGAACAAACUCCCAAGGUUGUACACAUGACACCCAAUGGGCUGGCAGCUGAGUCAGAACAGGGGGCUGCUCCCAUCCCCUCGAAAGCCAGGGCCACUCACUGGGGGUCAGG